rnacentral:rRNA from 1 species
AACGCGUGGGAACGUGCCCUUUGGUACGGAACAACUGAGGGAAACUUCGGCUAAUACCGUAUGUGCCCUUCGGGGGAAAGAUUUAUCGCCAUUGGAGCGGCCCGCGUUGGAUUAGGUAGUUGGUGAGGUAAAGGCUCACCAAGCCGACGAUCCAUAGCUGGUCUGAGAGGAUGAUCAGCCACACUGGGACUGAGACACGGCCCAGACUCCUACGGGAGGCAGCAGUGGGGAAUCUUGCGCAAUGGGCGAAAGCCUGACGCAGCCAUGCCGCGUGAAUGAUGAAGGUCUUAGGAUUGUAAAAUUCUUUCACCGGGGACGAUAAUGACGGUACCCGGAGAAGAAGCCCCGGCUAACUUCGUGCCAGCAGCCGCGGUAAUACGAAGGGGGCUAGCGUUGCUCGGAAUUACUGGGCGUAAAGGGCGCGUAGGCGGAUAGUUUAGUCAGAGGUGAAAGCCCAGGGCUCAACCUUGGAAUUGCCUUUGAUACUGGCUAUCUUGAGUACGGGAGAGGUGAGUGGAACUCCGAGUGUAGAGGUGAAAUUCGUAGAUAUUCGGAAG